UACGUAGGGUCCAAGCGUUAUCCGGAAUCACUGGGCGUAAAGCGUGCGUAGGUGGAUUGUAAGUGCGGUGCGAAAUCCUGUGGCUCAACCAUAUGGACUGUAUCGCAUACUGGCUAUCUAGAGGACAUGAGAGGCAAGUGGAAUUACUGGUGUAGCAGUGAAAUGCGUAGAGAUCAGUAGGAACACCAAUGGCGAAGGCAGCUUGCUGGCAUGUAUCUGACGCUAAGGCACGAAAGCGUGGGGAGCGAACAGG
rnacentral:rRNA from 1 species